rnacentral:tRNA from 4 species
GCUCCUGUAGUUCAAUGGAUAGAAUAGGCCCGUCCUAAGGGUUAGAUGCUGGUUCGAUUCCGGCCAGGAGUA